rnacentral:rRNA from 1 species
GACGAACGCUGGCGGCGUGCCUAAUACAUGCAAGUAGAACGCAGUUGCGAACGGGUGAGUAACGCGUAGGUAACUGCCUCAUAGCGGGGGUUACCUAUUGGAACCGUUAGCUAAUACCGCAUAUUGUGACAUGGACCUGCGUUGUAUUAGCUAGUUGGUGAGGUAACGGCUCACCAAGGCGACGAUACAUAGCCGGCCUGAGAGGGUGAUCGGCCACACUGGGACUGGGACACGGGCCAGAAUCCUACGGGAGGGAGCAGGAGGGAAUCUUCGGCAAUGGACGGAAGUCUGACCGAGCAACGCCGCGUGAGUGAAGAAGGGUUUCGGAUCGUAAAGCUCUGUUGUGAGAGAAGCGUUAACUAACCAGAAAGCAACGGCUAACUACGUGCCAGCCGCCGCGGUAAUUC